GGAGAUAUAAUAACACAUCACAUAACCAGGUUCUAAAAAGCUUAGCUGCAGGAAUUGAAGAGUUACGGAGGCAGGCAAAUUUAGGAGGACCUAAAACAAAGAAAGGUGCAAUCAAGUUUGUUCAAGAGGGAGAGAAAGUUGGUAAGACAACAAGAAGGCAAGGCAGCUUAGAAGGUGCUUGUGAUUGGGAAAUGCAGGUAGAUUUAGGAGGAAAGCUUCUUGUUCCCCAGGAAAUAGCCAUUACAAAGCUAAGGCCUGGUAUAGUCUUGUGGUCUAGGAGUAGAAUGAAAGUAUAUUUCAUAGAGCUGACUGUUCCGUGGGAGGCCUUAGUUGAGGAAGCAUAUGAAAGGAAAAAGCUCAGGUAUGCAGAGUUAGGGGCAGAAGCAGAGCAGCGAGGAUGGAAAGUUAGGAUUUGUCCAGUGGAAGUAGGAUGUAGAGGAUUUGUAGCAAGGUCUGUUGUCUCUUUGGUAAGGGAGUUAGGAGCAAGUGGACAGAGUGUGAGGAAAAUUAUAAAGGACAUGUCAGAUGAGGCAGCAAGAUCCAGUCAGUGGAUUUGGAUGAGAAGGAGUAAUGGUAGCUGGGGGCCCAGCAGGGGGAGCACUUAGGAUAGAUAGACUCUUAGGAGAAGCAAGGAAGAAAUCCAGGAAGAGGAAGUGUUUUUAAGUGGGGGUGUGGCCUGUGUGAGCCUCUUUGAGACCAUGCGGUUAGUCCAGUUGGAUCCAGAGGUCUGGAUUCUCCUCUUUCAUCAUUAUUUCAUCACAUGCUUUUCCUCAAUGCCAGCCAACAUGGCAGUACCGAAAGUCAAACUUUUAAAACUUCAGUACUUUGUGUGACAACCAAUUGAUUGAAUAACAACUUGCAACAACUGCCUUCUGUGGAGAGAGACAGGAAACGGGGAGGCAGAGAGAGGGGGAACGACACGCAGUGAAAGGCCGUCCGAUGCGGGAUUUGAACCGGGGCCAACUGCAGCGAGGACUGCAGCCUCCACACAUGAGGCGCCCGCCCAGACCACCAUGCCACACGACGCCCCUGGAAAUGGCUUUUGACUCAUGAAAACAAAUCAUCUUCUAACUGACUAAAAGGAGCAGGCUGACCCCCGGUGUUAAAGACUGCCAACAAGAGGAGAAGCGGCUCUGGAAAGUCUUGAGUUGGGCAGAGCAUCAGCUGGUGCUGUCAGUCAGGCACGGGCACUGCAUGAAGGAGGUGACAUAAGUCGGACGGCAUGGAAGCUGAACUUGCACUGCGGCCAUCAGGGGAUGGCAGGGGUGAUGACUGAGUGGGGUGAGAGGAGGUUAAGAAGGAAAGAGGAGACGCUGAGGAUCAGAACAUGGAGAACAGUAGGAGGAGGGUGAUGAGGCAGAGUGUUGGGCAAGGAGUGAGGGCAAGGAUAAAGAGUGGAGAAAAGGUCUCAUUAGAAGAGGAAUGGAUCAAAUCUGCAAAGAAAACUAAAUGCUGAGGGCAGGUCAGCCAUUUGUUUUCUCCCACCGACUGAUUAGAGUUUGAGUUAGACCUAAAGUGGUUUAAGGUUUCUGGGAUGGAAGAAGGAAGAGCUUUCCUGCUCAGAUGUUGUUUUGUUAGAUAAAGGAUAUGAUAUCUUGAGCAACACAAUAAAACAAACAAACAAACAAACAAAAAACAGCUGAACAAAAAGCACAACGCUUAUUAAAUAAUCAGUCUCUAUUUAAACAACAGUAACACACAAUAUCAAUUCAUAACAAAUAAAUAAAUAGACGGAUAGGUACUCUUAAAUUGAUUUUUACAAAUAUAUGUGAUACAGCAUAAAGAGCAAACAGACAUAAUAUUGAUUAGUAAAAAGGUUUGUCACAGCUCAGCUUUGAGCUAAAUGCUAAUGACAACAUGCUCACAUUGGCAAUGCGAGCAUGUUGAUGUUUAUCAGGUAUAAUGUUUCAUGUCUUUGCCAUGUUAGCAUGCUAGUAUUUUGCAAAUUAGCAAUAAAUACAAAGUACAGUCAUUCAGGUUCCAGGUAUUUGGCCAUAAAGUUGUGGAUAAACAGAAAUUUUCACCAGAUGUAACCAAGGUUAUUACAGGUCAAAUGUUACUGUGUUGCAUAGAAGGAAAUACAAUACAAAUGGGGAGUUCUAAAUAUACACAUUUUCCAUCAGCGUACAGUAACACACACACUCCAGGGAGUUAUUUAUGUCAUAUUUAUGUCUUCUACUUCACUGUGUCUGAAAUAAAGUCAGGUCGAGAAAUGGGUCUAGACACUUUGAGUAUUUGUUCCAAGCAGGCAUGUUUGUCCAACUCUGUAGCAGCCAUCCAUUUCACAUAUCCAUUUCAAAUGCACAGAUAUAGAAAGCUUCUAUUGUGUUUCACAUCAAUCCACACAGUAGUGGUUGAGAUAUUUGAAUCCGUGUUGGCUUGUACAGUAGACAAGCGAUCAUUAUUUAAGCUGCUGUGCAGGCAAAUGUUUGCCCCACAGGAGAAGAGGAAUAUUGGUGUAGUGGUGUAGGUUUUUUGCCACUAAUUUUAUCCCUGAACUAAUGCAUUUAAUGUCUUGGUUGAUAUGCACAACAUAUUUUACAUUUAUGCACAUGCAUAGGCUACAUAUUUCACUAGUGUGCCACUAAUUUCACCCCCAACAUUAGUGGCACAAUGUGUCUAUUUGGAAAAUGAAUAUCCUAGCUUGGAAAAGGAAAUGUCUGCUGUGUAUAUGAAAUAUGAACUCUGCUUCCAUUUCUUUUUAAAAUGCUUAAUGCUGGAGUUGAAACACACCAAUGUUCUGCUUUGUUUUGAUGACAAAUGAUUUAUAAUACUGUUUAGUGGUCAGAAAAUCUACAUUCAGUUUGUUUUGCUGACAGAUUUUUAAAUUGCUUUAAAAAAAAAAAAAAAAAAAACAAAUGCCCAGAGAUUCCUAUGCUAUAACCUACAUUGUGUUGCUAAUGCAUUAGGUAAACCUAGCUAAAAUAUAUGCAGUCUAAUACAACAUCCCUGCAACAUACUGUGCCGUCAUGAAUGUUAUACUGCUCAUUAUCUCUCAAAACUCUUAAAAACUUCACUUUCAUAG